CAGAGGUUGCACCGGUAGGCGUGCUAGCGCUCCAUACGUACUGCGGCUGUGGAACAUAUUACUUUUUUUAAUGAAUCGGUCCGGUCCUACACUUGGCAUAUUUCCUGGGGUUAGGUUACCUGCAGCGAUGAAAUAGGUAACUACGGAGUGUCGCACGCUGCAUGAACACGUAGUUCUUUUUGUUUUUUGUUUACCUGUAUUUAUCCUUUCUUAAAUUAUGAGUGCAUUUUUUUGGGAAAUAUAAAGUCGAUAGACACAUCAGUUUAAUAUAUUUGGCUAGACAGUGUAGACUAUUUAUUCGCUCUGUGACGGUAGUAGACUAUUGACAACGUCAGCUGUAGCGAGCAAUUUCGCUUGAGGAUCUCAAAGAAACCGGCUACGAGUAUUUGCUGCAACUGAUGCGAACUGGCUAGUGUCAGGCUGGAGAGACAAAGUUAAGCAAGGUUUCUGUGUGGUAGCCGUGGCGAUCUGCUGCUGCUGUAAACAUGUUUAGGAACAGCUUGAAGAUGCUGCUGACGGGCAGCAAGGCCAACCGCAAGAACCGCAACGGCAGCAGCGAUAUCGGCAAAUGGACUGGAGGCAGAGCAUGAAGGGGAUAACGAAUCCAAUUGUUUGUGUCAUCCGUUUCGGUAAAGUACCUGCAUAAUUGCGCACCCAAC